rnacentral:rRNA from 1 species
AUGGGGAACACAUCUGGCAAGCUCUCCUGCCUCGGCGAUUUACGGCUCAGCUGCUGUGGCGAGAAGCCAUCUUCUCCGGUGCCGGAGCCGGCGCCGGCGCCAGUCGACAGCUAUCCACCACCACCAGCGCCGGCUGCUCCUGUCCCUCCUCCUCAUGCUUCUCCAGGUCCAGAUAAUAUUGGUAAUCUUGUUCUAGAGCUCUAUGCAGGCGGUCAUCUGUAUGAUAGGCUGGUGGUUCCUCGAUCUGCCUCAAAUCAUGUGCUAAUACUUGACAUAGCGAAGGCGGUUUUGAAAGCCACCUCCAAUUUCUUACCGCCACAAGCGGUUUUGCACACACAAUUACCUCCACCUUUUGUCACGCUGAUGGAGGUAAAUCCAGCAAAUCUCGAGAGUGUUAGGUUUGGUUGCCCACACAGUGAAGCCAGAUGA